CAGAGUUCAUGCCCCUUGGGGUAGAUCUCCCACCCAUUGUUUACAUUACCUUUGUUGCUUUGGCAGGCCCGUCUUUUGACCACUGGCUUAGGCUGGUCCGCGCUUGCCAGAGAACCCUAAACUCAUGUCUUUUGUGUUGUCCAAGUAAUAUUUAUAAUAAGUUA
rnacentral:misc_RNA from 1 species